UCUACAACGUCCACCUCACCAAUCCGUACAAUCUCAUUAAUAGGACAACUAUUACAGUGGGACGAUGACUCAAGGAUGUUGCCACCAAGAUUGUCGUCGCCUUGUCAUUGUUCUCCAGUCCCAAUGUGGUUCCCCACUUCAUCCUCCCGAGCUGCUAAUUCAUCGUAAAAAUUCAUGUCAUCAUGAGCAGAACCAUCGGAAAAAUUCACAUCAUCGUGAUCAGAAUCACCAAUUGCCUUGCUGAGAUUUUUCCCUACGUCAGCACUAAUGUUUGAGGAUUCCCCAUCGUCAUCUUCACAGCUUGAUGAUGGACUUUCUCUUUUACGAUUUUGUGGGAACUGCUUGUAGAGCUCAGAACAUGAUUCCUCAAAAGCUUUGAUGUGGUAUCGAGUGUUGUCAAUAUCAAUUGCUAUUAUCUUAUCAAUAUGACCUUGAUGAUCUAUUAGGAGCAAAAUCCUCGCAGCAUCUAACUUGUUUCUUGAUAGAUUGGCUCCGUGUACUGCAAUGAAAGUUCCACACAAAUUCCCUACCCAUUGGAAGAAAUGGCUGGACCAUGAAUUCAGUGGUAUACCCUGUAACCUCAACCAUAUAAGGCGAUCCGAUGGAGUAUAGAGUGCCUGCCAUGGUUUAAUAUCAUAUAGCCACUGAUUUAACCAAUCCUUAUUCUCAACUACCAAUCCCUCCAUUAGUUCCUUUUUCUCAAAAGUUAAGAGGACUUUAUCACCCCCAUUGGGGUUACUUUAAUAUAAGGAACACUUGCAGCUAUGAAGUGGUCCUCCAAAUUAGUGACAGAGUGAACAUGUUGCAGAGUGGCUAUGACAGAACGAGAAAGCCAGUCUCCACUCUCUUUUAAUACUUCCUCAGGAAUAUUAUAUUUUCCAGCCACUGGAUAUUGCUCAGAUGAUCUUGAUUGACUAGAACAUCAGUCAAACACUUUGGCAUCAUUGUUACCGUUUUGAGCCGAGGUUGCAGAUCUCGCUUGCUGUUUGCCUUUUCUAAAGGUAGAUGAUUGAUUCCUCGCGAAUCUUGAGUAAAAAAGCCCUUAGCUUAAAACUACCAAUCCAUAAAUUGUUGAUGAUGUUUAAGAGGCUGCAUGCCUGUGAAGAAGAUGGAGCCCUUAUGAAGCCAAAAUGUCUCCCCCUGCGACUAAGUUUAUUUGGAAUAUAUACUUCCAAAAUGGUGUCAAACCUGGAAAAGGUAGACCAUAGAGUCUUUGCAUUCCAGCCUGGAGGAAAGUUUUCAAGGUAGAUGGUGGUUGGGUUUUGAUUUUGGGUGGGAGGUCUCCGGUUUUAAAAUGGAUUCGGAUUUAGUGUUUCCCUCUCUGGUUGUGGAGGCUUUGAUGGGUUUCGACUGUUUAUGGUAAUGUGUUCUAGGUAGCGAGGGGGAGGGAGGUGUUGAGGGGAGGAAGGAUAAAUGUCAGCCACUAUUUUAUUUGGUGUUGCAGAGAAGGAGAGUGAGCAGCAAAAAUAUUUUGAGGAAAGCAAAGCUUCUGCUACAAGACUCUCAUCUUCUCCUUGCUCUAACCAGUGG
rnacentral:misc_RNA from 1 species